CCGAGUAGCUGGGAUUACAGGCACCCACUACCACGCCUGGCUAAUUUUUAGUAUUUUUAGUAGAAACGGGGUUUCACUAUGUUGGCCAGGCUGGUCUCAAACUCUUGACCUAAGGUGAUCUGCCUGCCUCGGCCUCCCAAAGUGCUUGAAUUACAGGUGUGAGCCACCACGCCCAGCCUAGAUGUCAAUAUUUUGUCAAGCAUUGUCAGGUUCAUUUUAUGGAAUGAUGCUUGAUUGGAAAUGGACAUUUAUGUGCUACAACAGUAGUAUGAAGUAUGAUUUGGGUUCUCAUGGAUGGCACAUAAGCUCAAUAUGUUGUAAAUAUUUUUUACGAAAUCCCUUAACAUGAUCUCAGUGCCUUCUAUUGCAGUAUAUGUACCUGAAACAUUUUGUACACAAAUUGUGAUUAAGUAAUUUUCCACCGGUAGGUUAUCAUAGUAGGCACUUGGCUGUGGCAGAAAUUUGUAAUCAAUCAGGCUCUUAAAGUCUCUCCUUUUUUGGGCCAAAUUUGUGGUAAGCCAAGACUAGAUAGAUCUUUUCCCGGUGGUUUCAUAAUCACUUUAAUGUAUUGCAUUACUGUUCUUAGCUGAAAUUUCUAAGGAUGUUUUUCUGUCAGGAAAUUUAAUAAGGAAUAUUUAAUAUACAUAGAUGUUGAUUUUGCAAAUAGUUUUAUACUAGAUUUAUGAUUGGUAAGAGGAAAUUAGAGUAGAAUAGUUGUUUAGCCUCUUUUGUAACACUUGUGCAACUUUAGUUUCAACUUCUUGCUGAGGUAAUUCUAGCUAAUAGAUUUCUUUUUAUUAGCUUAUUAUAAAAGUAAUACUUGCUCAUGUGAAAAUUGUAAUUGACAUAAAAUUUGAAAAUAUUGCCUUCCUUCCUCAUUAUUCUACUGUGUAUAUUCUUCCUAAAUUAAAGGCUUUUAAUUGAAAUCUUAGAAAAAUAUAAAAAUGUGAUUGUGUUGAUGUUGAAAUGAAAAGGGGCCUGCUUACUAGAAGGGGAAGGAAAUUACAUUUUUAAUGGUUUUUUUUUUUUGAGACAGAGUUUCUCCAUGUUGGUCAGCUGGUCUUGAAUUCCCAACCUCAGGUGAUCUGCCUGCCUCAGCCUCCCAAAGUGCUGGGAUUACAGGCAUGAUCCACCACACCUGGCCAAUAGUUUUUUUUGUUUUGUUUUGUUUUGUUUUUAAGAAAUGAAGCUUAAUAUAAUUUGUUAAGAAUAUUUUGUUUUCCUUUUGUAUUAAAAUCUAUCAUAAUAGGACUGUGGUUGUAUGAUUUCAUAGUUGAUGCAUCAUUUAUAGAAUAUUUCAGAUUGUAAUGGUAGAUUUCUUAUGUCAUGGCUUAUAUUAUAACCACUCUUAAGUAACUUAGAACAGUGACUAAAACUUGAGCAUGCUUCAAAAUCUCCUGAAUCACCUGGAGAGCUUUUCAAAAUACAGAUUGCCGGAGCUUGAGAAUUUGUAUUUCUAACAGAUUUGUAAGUGGUGCCACUGCUGGUCCAGGGACCACAUUUUGAGAACCAGUGACAUGGAGAAUUGAAAAUUAUAAGGUUGAAUUCUGCCAGCAUAUCAGCUAAAUCAGUUUUAUGCUUUAGAAUAAUGUUUUAGAAAAAGUCUAUAGCAGUCUUGCCCUAUAGAGUGCUUGGUGAUGUUCUCUAUAUUGUCCAGUGUGGUAGCUACUAGCUACAUGUGGCAUUUAACAUUUGAAAUGUGGACAACUGAAGAACCGAAAUUCAAUUUUUUAAAAAAUUAACUUAAUGAAAUAACCACAUGUAUCCAGUAGUUACCAUAUUGGACAGCACAGGUCUCUAGAAAUGAAAAAAUACAAUUAUUUUAUGAUUAUGGACUGGUAAUGUGCUCGUGAAACAAAUUAGCUUAAUUUGAAACCGUGAGCCUGCUUAAUCCAGGGAAUGUGACUAUUUAAAUAAUGUUUAUAUUAGAGUUUACUUCCUACUCGUAUUGAGAUAAUUUCAAGCCAUGGUAAAAUUUAGGAAGAUAGCCAGAGUAGGUGAGGUGAUGUUCUGGAGCAGGGGUAUUUAAACCAGAGGGUUUGUGGGAUGUUAACUUAAUGGAUAGGCUUCAAAUGCUAUAGAGUAGUCCCUCCCUUAUCCCAUGGUUUUGCUUUCUGAAGUUUCAGUUACCCCAAGUCAACUGAGGUCUGAAAAUAUUAAAUGGGAAAUUCCUGAAACAAGCAAUUCAUAAGUUUUAAAUUGUGUGCUGUUUUGAGUAGCGUGAGGAACUCUCUGGACGUCCCACUUGAUCCUGCCCGUGACAUGAAUCAUCCCUUUGUUCAGCAUAUCUAUGCUGUCUACACCUGCCCGUUUGUCACUUAGUAGCCUAUUUGGUUAGCAGUGACUGUCAUAGUAUCACAGGGCUUGUGUCCAAAUAAUCCUUAUUUUACUUAAUAAUGGACCCAAAGUGCAAGAAUAAUGGUGCUGGCAUGUAAUGAUACUUGUUCUAUUUUAUUCAUUAUUUUUGUUAAUUUCUUAAUUGUGCCUAAUUUAUAAACUAAACUUUAUUAUAGG
rnacentral:lncRNA from 10 species